rnacentral:rRNA from 1 species
CCGGGAAACUCACCAGAUAAGACAGCUGAAUGAUAGUCGGGCUGAAGACUCUACUUGACUAGCUGAGAGGAGGUGCAUGGCCGUCGUCAGUUCGUACUGUGAAGCAUCCUGUUAAGUCAGGCAACGAGCGAGACCCACGCCAACAGUUGCUAGCUCGUCCUCCGGGAUGGAGAGGACACUGUUGGGACCGCCUCUGCUAAAGAGGAGGAAGGAAUGGGCAACGGUAGGUCAGCAUGCCCCGAAUUAUCUGGGCUACACGCGGGCUACAAUGGGUGGGACAAUGGGUAUCGACACCGAAAGGUGAAGGCAAUCUCCUAAACCCAUCCUUAGUUCGGAUUGUGGGCUGCAACUCGCCCACAUGAAGCUGGAAUCUGUAGUAAUCGUGUUUCAAAAUAGCACGGUGAAUAUGUCCCUGCUCCUU